GACGAACGCUGGCGGCGUGCUUAACACAUGCAAGUCGAACGGAAAGGCCCUGCUUUUGUGGGGUGCUCGAGUGGCGAACGGGUGAGUAACACGUGAGUAACCUGCCCUGGACUUUGGGAUAACUUCAGGAAACUGGGGCUAAUACCGGAUAGGAGCUCCUGCUGCAUGGUGGGGGUUGGAAAGUUUCGGCGGUUGGGGAUGGACUCGCGGCUUAUCAGCUUGUUGGUGGGGUAGUGGCUUACCAAGGCCUUGACGGGUAGCCGGCCUGAGAGGGUGACCGGCCACAUUGGGACUGAGAUACGGCCCGGACUCCUACGGGAGGCAGCAGUGGGGAAUAUUGCACGAUGGGCGGAAGCCUGAUGCAGCAACGCCGCGUGCGGGAUGACGGCCUUCGGGGUGUAAACCGUUUUCGCCUGUGAAGAAGAGUGAGUGACGGUAAUGGGUAAAGAAGCACCGGCUAACUACGUG
rnacentral:rRNA from 1 species